CUGGCCUUUUGCCCAUGGCAUGCUACCUGCUGCAAUGGGAAAGACUGAGUCUAAAUGGAGACAAGGAAGCUCCGUCGUACAGAGCGCUCUCCCGCGUGCGUGCUCUGCGAGGUCAUGCCAGGCAGCGAACACCAAAUACUCCAACAAAUCAGUAUCAGAGAGCUUUAAGGAUGAUCCAGCCUGCUUCUGAUACCACUGGCACCACCACUUCUGACACCACCCUCUUCAUCACCUUGGCUUUGCUCUUCCUAGAGUGGGAUAGAACUGUUUGGUAAGUCUUUGAAUUACCCCAAAGCAGGUGAUGGUUCAAUAUAAAGAGAUAUUUUUAGAAGUCU
rnacentral:lncRNA from 1 species